GGGAGAAUGAACAACUUUCGAAAUAUGGGGAUACCAAGUCGGCGAGGUCGAUAAUGUUGAUUGAACUGAAGAAGUUGAUUGAAGCGAACCCUCUAUUUCGUGAGAAACUGCAGUUUCCUAACCUCAAGAACUCGAGACUGCGCACUCUCAUUAAUCAAAGCUUAAAUUGGCAGCACCAACUCUGCAAAAACCCCAGACCUAAUCCAGAUAUAAAAACACUCUUUGUUGAC
rnacentral:misc_RNA from 1 species